rnacentral:rRNA from 1 species
AUUGAACGCUGGCGGCACGCUUUACACAUGCAAGUCGAGCGGUCAAAAUGAGGGGGCUUGCCCCCGAAAGACGAGCGGCGGACGGGUGAGUAACGCAUGGGAAUGCGCCCAGUAGUGGGGGACAACCCUGGGAAACCAGGGCUAAUACCGCAUGUUUUCCACGGAACAAAGCGGGGGACUUCUUCGGAAACCUCGCGCUAUUGGAGCAGCCCAUGUCCGAUUAGCUUGUUGGCGGGGUAACGGCCCACCAAGGCGACGACCGGUAGCUGGUCUGAGAGGAUGAUCAGCCACACCGGGACUGAGACACGGCCCGGACUCCUACGGGAGGCAGCAGUGGGGAAUAUUGGACAAUGGGGGCAACCCUGAUCCAGCGAUGCCGCGUGAGUGAAGAAGGCCUUCGGGUUGUAAAGCUCUUUCGCAGGGAAAGAAAAAACGCGGGCGAACAGGCCGCGUCCAUGACGGUACCCUGAGAAGAAGCGCCGGCUAACUUCGUGCCAGCAGCCGCGGUAAUACGGGGGGCGCAAGCGUUAAUCGGAAUUACUGGGCGUAAAGCGUGCGUAGGCGGCCGAGCAAGUCAGAUGUGAAAGCCCCGGGCUCAACCCGGGAAUUGCGUCCGAAACUGCCCGGCUAGAGUUCGGCAGAGGAAGGUGGAAUUCCGCGUGUAGCGGUGAAAUGCGUAGAGAUGCGGAAGAACACUAAUGGCGAAGGCAUCCUUCUGGGCCGACACUGACGCUGAGUCACGAAAGCGUGGGGAGCAAACAGGAUUAGAUACCCUGGUAGUCCACGCCCUAAACGAUGCCCGCUAGCUGUCGGGGGGAUUUCCCCCCGGUAGCGAAGCUAACGCGUUAAGCGGGCCG